CCUACGGGUGGCAGCAGUGGGGAAUAUUGCACAAUGGGGGAAACCCUGAUGCAGCGAUGCCGCGUGGAGGAAGAAGGUUUUCGGAUUGUAAACUCCUUUUAUCAGGGACGAUAAUGACGGUACCUGAAGAAAAAGCUCCGGCUAACUACGUGCCAGCAGCCGCGGUAAUACGUAGGGAGCGAGCGUUGUCCGGAAUUACUGGGUGUAAAGGGAGCGUAGGCGGGACGGCAAGUCAGAUGUGAAAACUGAGGGCUCAACUUUCAGACUGCAUUUGAAACUGCUGUUCUUGAGUGAAGUAGAGGUAAGCGGAAUUCCUAGUGUAGCGGUGAAAUGCGUAGAUAUUAGGAGGAACAUCGGUGGCGAAGGCGGCUUACUGGGCUUUUACUGACGCUGAGGCUCGAAAGCGUGGGGAGCAAACAGGAUUAGAUACCCUUGUAGUC
rnacentral:rRNA from 1 species